rnacentral:rRNA from 1 species
CAGCAGCCGCGGUAAGACGAACCGUGCAAACGUUACUCGGAAUCACUGGGCUUAAAGCGCACGUAGGCGGCGACAUAAGUUAGAGGUGAAAUCCCAUCGGCUCAACCGUGGAACUGCCUCUAAUACUGUGUUGCUUGAGGGAGAACGGGGCAUUCGGAACUUCCGGUGGAGCGGUGAAAUGUGUUGAUAUCGGAAGGAACGCCGGUGGCGAAAGCGGAAUGCUGGGUCUCUUCUGACGCUGAGGUGCGAAAGCUAGGGUAGCGAACGGGAUUAGAUACCCCCGUAGUCCCUGUCUCUUAUU